GAUUGUCCACUUGGGGCUCUCGACGCCGUGGGAGACAAGAAGGCAUUGACAGGAAUAUGAAGGCAACAUAAGAUAAUAUGAAUGAUAGCCAUGAGGGACCACCUACAUCGGCAACUCACCACAUGAGAAGUUGUCAAGUACUAUUUCCAGCAUAACUCGGAUCAUUUCAACAAAGAACUACAAGGACAUAGCAACACCCGAGGAAGAACAAGAAGAGUAAAAUCUUUCUCUCCUAGACAUGAAGCAAGCACGACUACUGAGUCCGAGAACCUCGUGGGUAGGGUAAGUCGUGUAUCCCCUAUGCGAAGUCGAGUCCGUGAAAUGGUUUGAAUGGAACCAUGUUGUGUGUUGCUUGUUUGUGCUUUGAUAUAAGUCACACUUUUGCCCU
rnacentral:lncRNA from 1 species